UGUGUUUUAGGGUUUAUCCAUCAAGGAUCGGCUCUGCCAAAUCGCGAAUGUAGGCGAUGGCGAUCCUGGAGCUCGGGCGCGAUUGCGUCCGCCAGGCCUCAGGUACGCGCUCGAGAAAGGCUUUCGCGCGGGCUUUUUGUUCUUUCCAGGCUGAGAGAUUGCAAUGCGGCAGCGCCAGGAGUAUUCCGGGGAGGAUUAUUGGAGCUGCAUUAGCGGCUUCUCUAUGCUGUGAAUCCAGCGCUUCCAAGCUUUGCAGUGACAACGAGCAUGGAGCAGGAAAUACUCCCCAUUCCAGAGGAGUUUCCCCCGCUGCCCGACUUUUUCUUUUCCACCAUACGAAAUGGUGCGAAAAACGAUUUGUAAACAAGCUAGUUGUUGUUUUAUUAGAUUGUACUAGACAACGGUCUCCGAGUUUUCGUGCUCGAGGAUCAUGAGCUGGGACUUGAAGGCGGAGGAAACUUAGAACCGGAAGGAAAGAAGUGGAGGGACUGCGUUACAUCCAAGCGAUUCAUUAGAUUUAGAACUGGAGUCCAUGGCAGCUCGAAUAGAAGCAUCGUCCAGUGGUGGGAGUAUGGGUGUCGGCUGUCGUUGCCUUGAGGACGACCUCAAAACUGUGUUUUCUAUAUUUUCAGAUGUCGUCCAGAGGCCAACCAUGCCUAGAGAGAAGCUAGAACUUGUUGGAGGACAGCUUCUGGGCUAUAUCUCUUGACGUAGGCGAGUAGCAUCUGCAGGCGAUCUUUUUAAAAUAUGUUUUCCUUCAUCAGGCUGAAACUUCGGCUACAAUCGGGUUGCAAAAGCUGCUGUAUGGGGAUAAAAGUAUUUAUGCUCGAUUGCCCGAGCAAAACACGGUGAGAUCCAGUUUUCGUAACGACCUGGUUGCAUUUCACAGACAGGUUUUCCGCUGUGUUAGGAAUUUGGGGUGAUUUUGACUCUUAGUCGCUGAUUGAAACGGAGUUUUCAACAUGACGGACGCCAGAAAACACAAGGAGCAAGCUUCUGUAUGUUCGGCAGGACUGUGGAGCUUUUUCACCAGCAGGCUUUUACCAGUCAACACCAUGCCCCAACUUGGUACCAGCAUUUCUAAGCCAAAUGUGUACCUCGUGGCUUAACUCAAGGAUAUGUUCGUAUGGGGGAGCUUGGAACUACGAUUGCGGAUCCUGAUGUGUUUGCUUUGGACGUUUUCAACGGCGUGCUAAAUGGUUUUGGGGGCCUCCUAUUUGACGAGAUUCGAUCGAAAGAAGGUCUGGCAUAUUCAGUAGCUGGAGGAUGGAGUGCUUCGAUCGAUCACAGGGGUGUUUUCGUCGCCGGAGGAGAAACUCAAGUUCAAUCUAUUCCCAAGUUUCUAAAAGCCGUCAAGGCAGUUUUGGUGUCAAUUGUCGAAGCACCUGUUCCUGAAGGCUAGAUUUGUCGUGCAUGCACUAUUGAAACCCUUCCCUGCAUUGCAGAGAAGCUGUCUCAAGCCAAAGAAGCUGCUGUAAAUUCUUUUGUUUUCAAUUAUUCAAAGAAUCCCAGCUAGCACGUGUCCUCAUAUACGAUCUAUUUGGAAUCGAUCAAAACCUUCCUCUCACUUACAAAAAGAAGGUUGAAGAAGUAACGAGCAAUGACAUCCUGGAAGGCGCAAGAAAACAUCUUCAUCCCGACUUGGAGCCAAUUGUCAUUGUUACUGACGCGAAGGCACUUGGGACUCAAAUGCCACCUUUUGUGCAACUGCAA